UACGUAGGGCGCAAGCGUUGUCCGGAAUUAUUGGGCGUAAAGAGCUCGUAGGCGGUCUGUCGCGUCGGAUGUGAAAACCCAGGGCUCAACCCUGGGCCUGCAUUCGAUACGGGCAGACUAGAGUGUGGCAGGGGAGACUGGAAUUCCUGGUGUAGCGGUGAAAUGCGCAGAUAUCAGGAGGAACACCGGUGGCGAAGGCGGGUCUCUGGGCCAAUACUGACGCUGAGGAGCGAAAGCGUGGGGAGCGAACAGG
rnacentral:rRNA from 1 species